rnacentral:pre_miRNA from 1 species
CUUAUACUCCCUUCGUUCGGAAUUACUUGUCUCGAAAAUGGAUGUAUCUAGAACUAAAAUACGUCUAGAUACAUCUAUUUCUGCGACAAGUAAUUCCGAACGGAGGGAGUAUAUA